GACGAACGCUGGCGGCGUGCUUAACACAUGCAAGUCGAACGGAAAGGCCCGGCUUUUGUUGGUUGCUCGAUUGGCGAACGGGUGAGUAACACGUGAGUAACCUGCCCUUGACUUUGGGAUAACUUCAGGAAACUGGGGCUAAUACCGGGUAUGAGCUUCUGCUGCAUGUUGGUGGUUGGAAAGUUUCGGCGGUUGUGGAUGGACUCGCUGCUUAUCAGCUUGUUGGUGGGGUAGUGGCUUACCAAGGCUUUGACGGGUAGCCGGCCUGAGAGGGUGACCGGCGACAUUAGGACUGAGAUACGGCCCAGAAGACUACGGGAGGCAGCAGUGGGGAAUAUUGCACAGUGGGCGCAAGCCUGAUGUAGCAACGCCGCGUGCGGGAUGACGGCCUUCGGGUUGUAAACCGCUUUCGCAUGUGACGAAGCGUGAGUGACGGUAAUGGGUAAAGAAGCACCGGCUAACUACGUG
rnacentral:rRNA from 1 species